rnacentral:rRNA from 1 species
GUUUGAUCGAUCUCAGGAGGAAGCACGGGCUAAGUUCGUGCCAGCAGCCGCGGUAAGACGAACCGUGCGAACGUUGUUCGGAAUCACUGGGCUUAAAGGGCGCGUAGGCGGGCUCGCAAGUCAGGGGUGAAAGCCCACGGCUCAACCGUGGAAGCGCCUUUGAUACUGUGGGUCUCGAGGGAGGUAGGGGCGUGCGGAACUUCCGGUGGAGCGGUGAAAUGCGUAGAUAUCGGAAGGAACACCGGUGGCGAAAGCGGCGCGCUGGACCUCUUCUGACGCUGAGGUGCGAAAGCUAGGGGAGCAAACGGGAUUAGAUACCCCGGUAGUCCUAGCCCUAAACGAU